rnacentral:rRNA from 1 species
UAGGGAAUCUUCCACAAUGGACGAAAGUCUGAUGGAGCAACGCCGCGUGAGUGAAGAAGGUUUUCGGAUCGUAAAGCUCUGUUGUUGGUGAAGAAGGAUAGAGGCAGUAACUGGUCUUUAUUUGACGGUAAUCAACCAGAAAGUAACGGCUAACUACGUGCCAG